ACAGUGUCUUCUAUCUCCAAGCUGGUGAGACACACUGCAGUCCUCUACAGAACAGAAGAGAGACAGUGCACAAGAUUGCUCUUGGGAGCUUGAUGAUGAUUGACAAGGUGUACUCUGGUCCUUGCCUGCCUCUGCAGGCUUCUCUCUUCUCGAACGCACUCUAGUCUAAGCUCCAGACACAAAUUGUCGUUGCCCUGAGUGGACCAUGUUCCCUCUCACCUCCCCACGUUUGCAGAAGCUUUCUUCAAAUCCCCAGAGCUGCCUUUUCUGUGACUAGUCCCCAUUUGUCCUUUAUUCACAGUUUAACCUCUCAAAAACCUGCCUGGAAACCCACCCCCAGAAGGGCUAAUGGACCCUCACUAGGUCUUCCUAUACCAUCAUCCGCUUCCCCAGUUAAAAUUGUACUUAGCGUAUUUGUGAAAUGAAUAACUGGAUGACUUUCUCCAUGCUGGGCAUUGUGCUAAAUGUUUCAAGUACAUAAGGCAUUCAAAUCUAGAAGAGCCCCGUGUUUGGUCCUAUUAUUAUCCCCAUUUUACAGACAAUGAAAUUGAGGUUUCAAGAGGGUAAGUCAUUCCCAUGCUGUCCAGUUAAUCUAUUUUGAAUGGAUGUGGAUAUUCAGGAGAAUCUGAUGAGAUGGGCUGAUCUGAUUCUCUCUCGGAUGCCCUAUGAUUUGGCACUACUUGGGGGCUCAGGGGCCUGAUGGAGCUGUGAUCACAACCUGGCUCUUCACUAAUUAGCUGGUGUCAAUGACCAGCACACUUUAGCCCUGAGUCCGUUUCCUCUUUGGCAAAUUGGCAAAAUAAUGACUACCUUCCCAACUGUUAUGAGGACAAAAAAAUGAGAAGCUGUUGAGAAAGCACGUAGCACCACAUCCAGCAUUUAAAAAACAAAUUUUUUAAAGUAAAAGAUGAGGAGUUUCCCUUUCCUUAAAGGAAGUAAUCUGUCUCUGCUACCUUGUGCCACAGUUAAACUGCACAGGCUCAAUAACUUAUGUUUUGGUUAAACGUUUUUAAUUUUUUUAGAGUGAAAUCCGAGUUUUUGUUGGCAAGUGAUUGAACACGCUGGGCCCAGCCUGCAGGCCCACAGUCCAUUAGGAAAUUUACGAGGCGAGAUGGGGACCUUCAGCUCAAGUACUCCCUUCAGACGCAGUACUUACAAAGCCAUCAAUUUCCUUAACAAAGAGCAUUGGCUUAAAUGCCCCUUAAAGCAGUGUUAUUUACACAGCUAUCCACUUCCUUUUGAAUUCUCUGCCUGGGGGGUGGCAGACCUGCAGUUCUUUCCAGCUACGAGUUAAUUAGGCUCUCUCCCCAAAUGGAAGCAAGCCGCAGACUGAGAUUUGGUAUUAAAAAGCAGCUCAAUUUGGGGCCAUCCGAGAGUCUUAUGGGGUGAUCCAAAUACCACCAAAAUCACUGGUUCCACCCACCCAUUCUUCUAAAAUUCUAAAGCCUUUGGACCUUACCAAAGAGUAAUGACCUCUGUCAGUAUAGAGAUAGAGAAGGAAAGGCAGCAUUUGAGCCCGUCUCUACUUAGUGAAAGAAGCCUCAAAAAAGUACUGCUGGCUAAGAUAGCAUACUUUCUACCUCUUGGUGUAUCGAUAUAGUAACAUUAACAUUUUAAAGAAGCCCCCACCCCUUUUGUGGGGGAACUAGGAUUUGGAUACAAGCAGCCCAGUUCAGGGGUCUGAGCAUGAAACCACCACCCCAAGCCACCUGACCCAAGAUAACCUGCCCGAGAUGACAGCUAAGGGGGAAAGUCUCCUAUUCAAACAGGAUUGUCUGACUCUAAAGACCAGCAAAGCUCAACUACACUUUCUUGCCUGAAAAAUAAAACUGUCUCUUAAGAAAU
rnacentral:lncRNA from 1 species